UUCAUUCCUUUAAACUAGUAUUAUCCUUAAAAAAUCCAUUAUUUAUCAAUUUAAACUUAAUCAGUUAACAUAGCUAUUAUUAACGUGCUAACCUUGAUUAUACCAGUUUCAAACAGGAAAAGAUUCAAUUCAUAACAAGAAAUCACAUCAAAGCCUUAAUAUUCAAUACUAUACUUAUCUACUUAAUUCCAGUCUCAUCAUUGGCCAAAAUAGACUUUUACUAUCUAACAGUUGGAAUCAUGCAAAUAUAAACUAAACGCAACAAACACAGUAAACUAACUACUAUUUUUGCGAUUUUUAAAUUUUUUUUUUUUAAACAAAAAAACUGAAUGCAAAAACUAAAUGUAAAUAACCCGAAAACAUAACGAACUACAAUGUAAAUAACUA
rnacentral:lncRNA from 1 species